AGUGAACGCUGGCGGUAGGCCUAACACAUGCAAGUCGAACGGCAGCACAGUAAGAGCUUGCUCUUACGGGUGGCGAGUGGCGGACGGGUGAGGAAUACAUCGGAAUCUACUUUUUCGUGGGGGAUAACGUAGGGAAACUUACGCUAAUACCGCAUACGACCUACGGGUGAAAGCAGGGGAUCUUCGGACCUUGCGCGAUUGAAUGAGCCGAUGUCGGAUUAGCUAGUUGGCGGGGUAAAGGCCCACCAAGGCGACGAUCCGUAGCUGGUCUGAGAGGAUGAUCAGCCACACUGGAACUGAGACACGGUCCAGACUCCUACGGGAGGCAGCAGUGGGGAAUAUUGGACAAUGGGCGGAAGCCUGAUGCAGCCAUACCGCGUGGGUGAAGAAGGCCUUCGGGUUGUAAAGCCCUUUUGUUGGGAAAGAAAAGCAGCAGGUUAAUACCCCGCUGUUCUGACGGUACCCAAAGAAUAAGCACCGGCUAGCUUCGUG
rnacentral:rRNA from 1 species